rnacentral:rRNA from 1 species
CGGACCGGCGCACGGGUGCGUAACGCGUAUGCAACCUACCUUAACAGGGGAUAACACUGAGAAAUUGGUACUAAUACCCCAUAAUAUCAUAGAAGGCAUCUUUUAUGGUUGAAAAUUCCGAUGGUUAGAGAUGGGCAUGCGUUGUAUUAGCUAGUUGGUGGGGUAACGGCUCACCAAGGCGACGAUACAUAGGGGGACUGAGAGGUUAACCCCCCACACUGGUACUGAGACACGGACCAG